GACGAACGCUGGCGGCGUGCCUAAUACAUGCAAGUCGAACGCACUCUCGUUUAGAUUGAAGGAGCUUGCUCCUGAUUGAUAAACAUUUGAGUGAGUGGCGGACGGGUGAGUAACACGUGGGUAACCUGCCCUAAAGUGGGGGAUAACAUUUGGAAACAGAUGCUAAUACCGCAUAAAACCUAACACCGCAUGGUGUAGGGUUGAAAGAUGGUUUCGGCUAUCACUUUAGGAUGGACCCGCGGUGCAUUAGCUAGUUGGUGAGGUAAAGGCUCACCAAGACCGUGAUGCAUAGCCGACCUGAGAGGGUAAUCGGCCACACUGGGACUGAGACACGGCCCAGACUCCUACGGGAGGCAGCAGUAGGGAAUCUUCCACAAUGGACGAAAGUCUGAUGGAGCAACGCCGCGUGAGUGAAGAAGGUUUUCGGAUCGUAAAACUCUGUUGUUGGAGAAGAAUGUAUCUGAUAGUAACUGAUCAGGUAGUGACGGUAUCCAACCAGAAAGCC
rnacentral:rRNA from 1 species